rnacentral:rRNA from 1 species
GACGUAGGGCGCGAGCGUUGUCCGGAUUUAUUGGGCGUAAAGAGCUCGUAGGCGGCUUGUCGCGUCGACUGUGAAAGCCCGCGGCUCAACCGCGGGUCUGCAGUCGAUACGGGCAGGCUAGAGUUCGGUAGGGGAGACUGGAAUUCCUGGUGUAGCGGUGAAAUGCGCAGAUAUCAGGAGGAACACCGAUGGCGAAGGCAGGUCUCUGGGCCAUUACUGACGCUGAGAAGCGAAAGCAUGGGGAGCGAACAGG